CAGAAAAGGGAGGGAUGGAUGGAUGGAUGAUUAAAGAGUUUACUUGGAGUAAGUCACAUGUCUCACGUCAUAUCACCUACGAUAAAGCUCUUUUCAGCUGUGAAUCUUUUUAUGCGUCUAGGUCAUUUCAGCACAUGGUGACCAGUGGUCCUGGACUCAACUGGAGAAGUUUUUGGAGUGUGCUGCCCCACAUUUUACUGUAAAAGUUAUAUAUUGUUAUACAAGAUGAAGACACUUCAAUCAACCAAAUCAUGUUACAGCAAGAAAACACACAAUUUAGAGCCCACUUUAAUCAGUAAACCAGGCCUUUUAUAUGUUUACGUGGUGUCUUGUUGUUAGACAGAAUUCACAGGGCUCAGUCACAAGUGACCCAAUGGGAAAAAAUGCCUCGGGGGCCCAUGGGCAAGCCAUUAUAUUCCCAAAACCACAUGUUAUUCAAUCACAAGUACCCCAUUGCCCAAUAGAUAGGUUUCCAAUUACCGGUAGUGGCACACAAGAUGGCGGACAAGGGAAUCCUAGGACUGUGGUAACGCGCCGGAAUACAGCAAAACAACAAAGGAUGAAGAUUUCUGAUCACCAUCUGGUGGAUAUUUUUGGCCACUGCACCUACUGCCCCUUUUGCACAAACUACUUGUGAUGAGUUGUGCCUUGGACCAAACAGAGCAAGACAUAAGUGAAUUGAUACCAGCCAGUACACAGACGCAUCCAGCAUCUGUGAGCCGUUAAGACCGCUUCAUCUUCAGCUCCUCCAAACAGCAAGGGCGUAAAAGAAAGAUCUGUAGCGGCUCCUCUGUGCUCCACUCCUUACCUGUAUGAAUGACACCUUUUUGAUCUUAUACGUAACGCAUAGAAGACACCUGUCCACGACUUCAGUCCCACUCCAAACUCCAGUACGGCCAAGACCAAAGAGCUGUCAAAGGACACCAGAGA